rnacentral:rRNA from 1 species
UACGAAGGGUGCUAGCGUUGCUCGGAAUGACUGGGCGUAAAGGGCGCGUAGGCGGAUCGCGCAGUCGGGCGUGAAAGCCCCGGGCUCAACCCGGGGCGGGCGCUUGAGACGAGUGGUCUGGAGUGGGGGAGAGGGUCGCGGAAUUCCCAGUGUAGAGGUGAAAUUCGUAGAUAUUGGGAAGAACACCGGUGGCGAAGGCGGCGACCUGGCCCUUGACUGACGCUGAGGCGCGAAAGCGUGGGGAGCAAACAGG